rnacentral:rRNA from 1 species
GUGGGGAAUAUUGGGCAAUGGGCGCAAGCCUGACCCAGCAACGCCGCGUGAGGGAAGAAGGCCUUCGGGUUGUAAACCUCUGUCCUAUGGGAAGAAGAAAGUGACGGUACCAUAGGAGGAAGCUCCGGCUAACUACGUGCCAGCAGCCGCGGUAAUACGUAGGGAGCAAGCGUUGUCCGGAAUUACUGGGCGUAAAGGGUGCGUAGGCGGUUGUUUAAGUCAGAUGUGAAAUACCCGAGCUUAACUCGGGGGCUGCAUCUGAUACUGGAUAACUAGAGUGCAGGAGAGGAAAGUGGAAUUCCUAGUGUAGCGGUGGAAUGCGUAGAUAUUAGGAGGAACACCAGUGGCGAAGGCGACUUUCUGGACUGUAACUGACGCUGAGGCACGAAAGUAUGGGUAGCAAACAGGAUUAGAAACCCUGGUAGUCC